AGCGUGGAUCAGGUGUCAGACCCUGUACACACCGGCCUUGUCGCGUAUCCGUGUGUUUGUCCAUACCAUCCGCGUUGCUGCUGUGGCGAUCUUCCACCACUGUGGACCAUGUUGCAGUCUAGUGAAGUCUUGAACUCCACUCUAACUAUGGAUGGAAAGUGGCUUGAUCUUCACAGCAUCAUUGUUGGAUGUCCAGACGGACACAGUUUACAUCUUCUACAUAUCAUGGAAAGGUUUCUGGCCAGUGUGGGUUAGUCAAUAUUGAAAUUGGAUAUUGACCCCAUGUUUAGAGUCCUCUAUGUGGAAACACCAGCUACAUACUUUGGAAACACAAUCUGCUAAGUAUGGUGCCUGCCCUGAUAUUUAGGUGAUGUGCACCAAAUAUUAAAUGCUACAGCUGAUCAAUUGCUAUUACCAUCAAACAUGGCUAAUUUAAGUUUGAAUUAAUGGCUUGAAAAGUAUGGACUGUGGUUCUGCCCAAUCUGACGUAUGGUGGGUAGGCUGGUCGUGUGUUACAGCUCAUCUUCCUAAUGCUGGUUGGCCUUUAUGCUGUUGGAGACAGUUAUUUAAUUCUUCUGUUAUCUAAUACACUGUAUCAUGGAUACUGAUGUGACUGGUUUUUGGCUCCAUCCCCCUGUGGCAGUAAAUUCGGGCAGGCUGUUCACAACCUAAAACUAAAAAAAAAAUGUACUUCCACAUAAUAAUGUAGCUGUAAAAUGUUUCACUACAUGUCCAUAACUUGACCUUGCACUUUGACCUACAUUUUUUUGAAUACGUAAAGAUGACUCAUCUUCUGUAUUUCUCUUAGCUACCUCAGUAAUGUUAUGGGCAAGGGAAAUACUGGCAGUUUGAAGUUAUUAUGGCUUACCCCCCACCCUCUCUAGCCUGUAGGCCUCGCUGACUGCACCUGCCCAUGUUGCUUAUAUCCCAGAUGUUCUAGUAGAGAGUGGCAAGAUUCCUCAUUCUUGAGCCUACCCACUUCGUCACAGCCUGAUCAGGAAUCCUCUCACUCCAGUCAAUAUAGCAGCUUUUCUGCUGGCUGAAGACCUGUCUGAGUUUUGGGGGUGGCAGGGGGGGCUGCACCUCAGCGUUUCUCAGCACAGCCCACUAUUCGCUAGAUGAAUGGAGGCUAGAAAAAAACCAUAAUUUGGCAGAUUUGUCACAUGUAGCGACAGAAUACAUUUAUGAUUGUCAAAACUCAUAAUUUGUAUGUAAAUGGUAGUUGGUUGUUCAGUGUUUUUGCUUCUUGAUGUGAAGUCCCAAGAGCGUUCUUUGUUUGUAUUGUUCAAGAAGAUACAAAAAAAGAAUUUAUAUACACUGAUGAACUAAUGAUGCGCCAAAACAUUGUGACCACCAGACAUAAACCAAAUAAUGUUGACUGUCUCAUAAAAAUGUGGGUGUCAAGCUCUGGGAAAUGGGUCAAUGAUGUGACAAAUUGUAUUGUAUCCAUAUGGUUUAGUUUAAUUUAAAAGCAUUAAAACUUGAAAAUAAACUUG